rnacentral:rRNA from 1 species
CGCACGGGUGAGUAACACGUAUGCAAUCCACCUGUAACAGGGGGAUAACCCGGAGAAAUCCGGACUAAUACCCCAUAAUAUGGGCGCUCCGCAUGGAGAGCCCAUUAAAGAGAGCAAUUUUGGUUACAGACGAGCAUGCGCUCCAUUAGCCAGUUGGCGGGGUAACGGCCCACCAAAGCGACGAUGGAUAGGGGUUCUGAGAGGAAGGUCCCCCACAUUGGAACUGAGACACGGCCAA